UUGACCUCGGAUCAGGUAUCAGGUAGGGAUACCCGCUGAACUUAAGCAUAUCAAU
rnacentral:rRNA from 1 species